UGCGCUGGAUGCCUGGAAAAUGGCUACUCCCAAUACGGAUUUGCCCGGCAACUGCUGCUCUCAGAGACAAUGGGACGGGCCGCUCUGUAGCACUGUACGGAAUAAUCUAUUAAAUACGUGUAAUAGUGUUUGUUGGCUGUGGGAGAGUGGGAGUCGGGCCUCUGGUUACAGGCGAUCCCGUCAUCUAGCAUAGGCACUAUGCUGGAUGACACAACGUUCCGCAUCGCUACAUGCUUACGGUUAGGUGCUGCCUGUGUUGCUCCGCAUCGCUGCCAUUGCGGUGAAGCCGUCGACAGCCCCGGGCACCAUGGUCUGUCGUGCUACAGAAGUGCUGGUCGUAUUGCACGGCAUGCCAGCAUUAACGACAUUAUCCGUCGUGCUCUUUCCACCGCCGGCGUACCAGCCGUGUUAGAGCCUAAUGGACUGGUACGUGACGGAAAGAGGCCUGGGGCCCGAUCCUCCUAAGUUAAUAAUGUCAAAAUCGAAUAGAAAUCGAAUCGAAAUAUGAUCGCAAUAGCAGUUUUAACCAUAUCGGGCAUUCUGCUACUAAUAUAAGAACAAUCGUAUUCCAACGACAUUCGAUUGUUUUGCGAUUGGUCUGCUAUUUUGGUGAUUUUGGUAUAUACGGUAGUUUGCUCUACAAUCAUUUGCAGACAAAAUGAUUCAUUAUUGAAUGACAGAAAAGGAUAAAAACGUUUAUUUCAAAGAAAAAUAGCGGAAUGCCACAUACGCUUCAAUUGUAAUCGAGUCGUGAUUGGAUCGCAAUCGAAUAUGAAUCGUAUGUUGCUUAAGUAAAAUUAGGAGAAUCGGGCCCCAGGUCGGCGCCUGUGCGAUAGCGCCGUGGCGCUCUAGUUCGGAGUUCGGCUCACUUGGUCCUGAACGCUUUUACUGUACUGUAGUGUGUACCUAGUGCUUAAACCGACUUGUCAUCAGGAGCAGAAUCUCUUACAAGUGCACUAUGACGGCUACUGCACCGUGCAACGCCCCUCCAGGGCAUGCCAAGACUGCCACAAAGCGCCGCAAGAAGAACAAGCAGAGGUCGAAGGAAAAUGGCAAGAGGGCCAAGUUCUACUACUUGGUCUCACGCCCGCCAUUUAUCGUCGUUGAAAAUUAAGCCAUCGACGGCACGCUGAUAUUGUCAAACCUAACCCUUGAAGAAUUUUAUUAUUAAUUAGCAUCUGAAGUUUCGGGGACUCGAACUUUUGUACGCGGGAACCGGGAACCUCUACCGGGACUGAUACGGAGUCCUAUCAGUCUUAAGCCGUUUCAACACCAUCGUCAGGAGAAGCAUCGAGGUCAAGAAGGAGCUUCGUAUCAUUUAUUUUGAUGAUGUUCUUCAUAGCUAGGCGCGGCUUAGGUUUGACUUUAUUCAGGAAGGGAGAUUAGGUGACGUACAAGCAGUGGUGUGGUGCUGCCUGGUGAGCCUUCGAGAGGAUCAACCUCCAAGGCGUUUGGUUGUCAUCAGGAGUUAUCGUGGACUCCUCAUCACGAAGACUGUAAUAAGAGACAACACAAAAGUCUUUGAGGGUUUAGUUGCCUUAGCCGGCUAGAUGAGAAAACAUGGGAACAGGACUAUUGUUCCGGCCGGCAAGAGGUCCUGCGUCUGAUGUCUUCUUGCCUUAUCGACUAGGAGCAAAAAUUUGAUCUGUACGACUGGGUGAAGCCGGCAGACGUUACUCCAUUUCAUGUACUUUACACCUGUUGGGUGGUAAAGGUUAGUCGUGGGUUAGAGAAUAGUUGUCAGUUGUUUAAUAUGCUGAUACCAUCUUGGUUUCAUAUUUGUGCGUCAGUUCAGCAACACGUGGUUGAACAGGGCGCUUUCAAAUGCUCAUUUUGUGGAAGUAACAUCGACAACGAACGGAGGAUAGGCCUUACAUCGGAAAGUUGAAUUCUAAGAAAGGGGAUAAGGUGUAGGUAAUUUUAUUUUAUAGGAAGUAGUGAUUAAGCUUUGAAAUAUUUAAUUUCGUCGAUGUCAGAUUAUUGUAAUGUAGAAUUUCUGAUUAUAUGCAUCGUAGACGAAAA